rnacentral:rRNA from 1 species
CCUACGGGUGGCUGCAGUGGGGAAUAUUGGACAAUGGGGGCAACCCUGAUCCAGCCAUGCCGCGUGUGUGAAGAAGGCCCUCGGGUUGUAAAGCACUUUCAGUGAGGAAGAACGCCUGGUGGUUAAUACCCAUCAGGAAAGACAUCACUCACAGAAGAAGCACCGGCUAACUCCGUGCCAGCAGCCGCGGUAAUACGGAGGGUGCGAGCGUUAAUCGGAAUUACUGGGCGUAAAGCGCGCGUAGGUGGCUUGAUAAGCCGGUUGUGAAAGCCCCGGGCCCAACCUGGGAACGGCAUCCGGAACUGUCAAGCUAGAGUGCAGGAGAGGAAGGUAGAAUUCCCGGUGUAGCGGUGAAAUGCGUAGAGAUCGGGAGGAAUACCAGUGGCGAAGGCGGCCUUCUGGACUGACACUGACACUGAGGUGCGAAAGCGUGGGUAGCAAACAGGAUUAGAUACCCUUGUAGUC